UAGGUGGCGAGCGUUAUCCGGAUUUAUUGGGCGUAAAGCGUGCGCAGGCGGUUUGUUAAGUCUAAAAUCAAAGCCCGAAGCUUAACUUCGGUUCGUUUUAGAAACUGGCAGGCUUGAGUAUGGUAGAGGCAAACGGAAUUUCGAGUGUAGCUGUAAAAUGCAUAGAUAUUAGAAGGAACACCAGUGGCGAAGGCGGUUUGCUGGGCCAUUACUGACGCUCAUGCACGAAAGCGUGGGGAGCAAA
rnacentral:rRNA from 1 species